rnacentral:rRNA from 1 species
AGUAGAACGCACAGUUUAUACCGUAGCUUGCUACACCAUAGACUGUGAGUUGCGAACGGGUGAGUAACGCGUAGGUAACCUGCCUGGUAGCGGGGGAUAACUAUUGGAAACGAUAGCUAAUGCCGCAUAAUAUUAAUUAUUGCAUGAUAAUUGAUUGAAAGGUGCAAUUGCACCACUACCAGAUGGACCUGCGUUGUAUUAGCUAGUAGGUGAGGUAAUGGCUCACCUAGGCGACGAUACAUAGCCGACCUGAGAGGGUGAUCGGCCACACUGGGACUGAGACACGGCCCAGACUCCUACGGGAGGCAGCAGUAGGGAAUCUUCGGCAAUGGACGAAAGUCUGACCGAGCAACGCCGCGUGAGUGAAGAAGGUUUUCGGAUCGUAAAGCUCUGUUGUAAGAGAAGAACGGGUGUGAGAGUGGAAAGUUCACACUGUGACGGUAUCUUACCAGAAAGGGACGGCUAACUACGUGCCAGCAGCCGCGGUAAUACGUAGGUCCCGAGCGUUGUCCGGAUUUAUUGGGCGUAAAGCGAGCGCAGGCGGUUAGAUAAGUCUGAAGUUAAAGGCUGUGGCUUAACCAUAGUACGCUUUGGAAACUGUUUAACUUGAGUGCAGAAGGGGAGAGUGGAAUUCCAUGUGUAGCGGUGAAAUGCGUAGAUAUAUGGAGGAACACCGGUGGCGAAAGCGGCUCUCUGGUCUGUAACUGACGCUGAGGCUCGAAAGCGUGGGGAGCGAACAGGAUUAGAUANCCUGGUAGUCCACGCCGUAAACGAUGAGUGCUAGGUGUUAGGCCCUU